GACAGAGGGUGCGAACGUUGUUCGGAAUUACUGGGCGUAAAGCGCGUGUAGGCGGUUCGGCAAGUCGGAUGUGAAAGCCCAGGGCUCAACCCUGGAAGUGCACUCGAAACUGCCGAACUGGAGUCCCGGAGAGGAAGGCGGAAUUCUCGGUGUAGAGGUGAAAUUCGUAGAUAUCGAGAGGAACACCUGCGGCGAAGGCGGGUUGCUGGGCUGAUACUGACGCUGAGGCGCGAAAGCCAGGGGAGCGAACGGG
rnacentral:rRNA from 1 species